AAGCAGGGGCAGAGCCUGACUGCUGGUGAGCCUGCCUUUUGUGUAGCUCUGAGUCCCCGGCUGUGUGCAAGCAGCUGGAAUCCCUUGGGCAUUUAAGAGCAACAGAGGACUUUCCUGAGAAAAUCUUGAAGAACUCACAGGCUAGCAGGAAGGCUGUGUACGGAUGGGCAGGGCUCACUUGGCCAGAAGAGCCACCUGCUCAAGACCCCAGGAGGAGUCUAGGAAGUAGGGAGGCGGAGCUUGGAAUCCAUGUUUGCCCCUUGCUCCUGAAGAAGCAGGUACUGCAUCUAAAGCUCAGGAGGCAUGGCUACAGUCUGGAUAUGGUUAAAUGUGAUCCCCAAGCUAAUCCCCAUGUCAAGUAUCAAGAGAGAUUGGAAGCCGGAUCUCACCAUGGUGUUUACAGAGCUUAGAGAUGAGAUGAUCAUUCCUUGAAGUGCUGAAGCCAUGACUCAGACAGCAAAGCAGCUGCCGCUCCUGCUGGACUCCAAGGCCUCACACCCGGUCAGCUGUGUGUAAAGAAGCCCGAGACUGUGUGUGGGCUAGGAAGAACUCAAGUUCUGAGAUUACCAAACUCUACAGAUGCUUACCAUAUACCUUCGAUGAACUGGAGGUGUCUGGGAGGAAGCACAUGGGGGAACAUGCAAGUCAGUAGGUAGGUGCAGCUGGUCUGAGGACUGCCCUGAGCUGACUAACCCUUCCCUCUGCUGGAGACUGUUCUCCACAGUGACCAUCUUCAGCACUAAGCUCGCUGCUAGUCGAAGGACCAGUUUGUGGCACUGCUAGGAGCACCACUUUCCUCUCUCUGCCCAAGAUGGCUAGGCUCCUUUGUGAAAAACCUUAGGUCUACUCUCUUCAGCAUUACUGCUGUUUCCAGGCACAGGCCCUCCUUUUUCGGAGACCAUAACAUAGGAGUCACCACCCCUGGUGACUUGCAUGUGUAGUGCCUGUGGUCCCACUUCCUGACUUCCCUUCUCUUUCUGACAGGCUAGGGACCUAUCCUGAUCGCUGCUGGCAGCUGUAACUCUGCUAACUGCAGCAACAGAGAUAAGGAAAUACUGACAAGCAAAACUAGCUUUCAGCAAAGGGAGAAGCUGACUAGUGUGAAAUGCUUCCACUACCUCAUUGUCUAAGCUAUAUCCCCAACAAGAGAGAAGCCAUGUUUGCUAGAACCAGCCACUCUGCUCUCAGGUUCCUAAGACACUGAAUGCAGCUUCUGCUGCCGAAGCAUAUCCAAGGCAUUUUUCCCAGGAAGGGAGGGGUAAAAGAACAUUGCUCAGAACCACAGUAAUGAUGUCAAAAUAGAGCAGAGGCCCUAAAUGAACCAUGCACCCCCCAAGAUCCUUCACCCAGAGCCAUGGAGCCCACUGCACCAGCUGUGACCACAGCAGCCUGGCAGCUCCUCCUAAUACCUGUAGCUAGCUCUCAGCUCUGAGAGGCUUCUGGGAUGCUAACUCAUAUGCAGCAGGACCUCCUAGACCGUGGAAGGAAAUUUUAGAUAGAUGAAUAAACAGGUAGAUAUAGAUAGAUGAUAGAUGGUAGACAGACAGACAGACAUGCUUAGUGUCUCUCAUCCCCAAAUGCAAACAAAGCUUAAUCAAUCUUUUCAGGACUGGUAAUCAAUUCAAUUACUUGUUCUACAUUGAGCUUUACUUAAUAACAGACCUCAUUCAUAAGCACCACAAGUUAAGACGUUUUAUUUACUUUGGGUCAUUUGCUGUGAGAACUGCCUUGUUUAAGAGCCAACGCCAUCUGAAAUUGUUCAUUGCAAUUGACUUCUAAACAACUCAAGGCCCAACCGCAUGUCACUCAGAACACUGUAUUCUGCCCUGGCAAGUGUAGCACCAAGUACACAGCACUGAAUUCCUCUUCUCACCAGCUCUGACCGAAGAGCUACCCAGGGGCUGAUACAACUGAAACUCUUCCUUUAAAUGCUGCAUCUGAAAAUAGUCUCCAACCCCGUGAACCUUCUUGGUAAAGCUCACAUCUUGUGAAUGGACUUCAUGCAAGUAGAUAAUGUGACUUUUGUCCACUAUAGGAAAAAAAAAAAAAAACAGUGAAAUUCAGAGAAACAUCUAUAUAGUCCAUAAGGAUAUAUCAGGACAUGGACAUCAGAACCAUGGCACUUGGCUCCAUUAAUUCUGAUAUGAAAUGCAUGAGCACAAUCAAUGGCCAUCUUUAAGGGCUAUAGGUGAUCUUCAAUACUAACAACAAAACUUGAUUGCAAAACUGCAUUUCUCCUUGAACAGCAGAUCUUAAUUUAUGACAUUAUCCACUGUGCCAUAAACAAUUUUUUUAAAUGUAAGGUUUAAAAUACAACUGAUACUAAAGUUUGCCCAGAAGCUGGUUAACACAGAAAAUAAGCAGGAUAAAUGGCUUCCCUAAGCAUGCAUUUACACUUUAAAAUGUCCAUAAAUCACAACCCUGUUUUAGAAAGAAUUUAUGUGCUUAAUAUUCUAUUUUCUUGGUAAAUAACUUUAUUCCCAUUUGUUAUAGGUAGAUGCUGUAGUCUUGGAUGAUCCCUGUCAGAAUUAUUCAGAAAUGUGUAGGAAUGCAUGACAAACAAAGACGAUAAACAGUCAUGAAAGCACUCCUAGGUGUGGGCCUCAGGCUGACUCGGGAUACCAAUGAGAAACAACAGAUUAUAUAACCAGGGCAGAAUAGCAUGGACGUCUGCUGUUUCAGUGCGGGCUCACUCGUAUGAUGGAGUAAAGCAUACAACUCUGCCUUCACCUCU
ensembl:lincRNA 4732487G21Rik RIKEN cDNA 4732487G21 gene